rnacentral:rRNA from 1 species
CCCUUAGAUGUCCUGGGCCGCACGCAUGCUACACUGACGCCUACAGCGAGUACUUCCCAGCCCCGAGAGGUGGCUGGUAAUCAGCAAUAGGCGUCGUGAUGGGGAUAGAUCUUUGGAAUUAUGGAUCUUGAACGAGGAAUGCCUAGUAAGCGCAGGUCAUUAGCCUGCGCUGAUUAAGUCCCUGCCCUUUGUACACACCGCCCGUCGCUCCUACCGAUUUCGAGUGGUCCGGUGAAUCUUUCGGACUGCGCGCGGCCUCGUGCCGUGUCGCGGAAAGUCAGGUAAACCUUAUCACUUAGAGGAAGGAGAAGUCGUAACA